UCUUUCAGAACUUGUGCCCAAUAUGACCUCAUCCCUGAUGCCUUUCUAUAACUCUGUCAGAGUUGAUUUCCCCACUGAACUCACUAAAUUCCCUAUUAGAUGGUUGUAGAUGUUAAAGGAAACUGCUUGGCACCAGUACUGCAUUAGAACAUUGAGCCUUGCUAGUUCCUGUGGUUGCUGUCUAGGUAAACGUGGACUCGUGGAUGUCAUGUGUGUGCUAAGUAACUCCAGAGGGGUUCAGUUGUCAGAGAAGGUGUCAAAGAAGAGGUUAACACCUGAACAGGGUUCAGAGAAUUUAUAGGUAUUUGUCAGGUGGGGUUGGUGUUUUGCCACAUCCUCUUUCUGCCCAUCCACCAACUUGAAUACUUCCUGAAAGGGACAGGCCCCUGUCUUAGUCCUCUCUCUAUCCCUCUGCAGCUACUCAAUUCAGGUUUGGGGAGUGAAUGUUUCCUCCAUGCCUCAU
rnacentral:lncRNA from 1 species